AUACGAAGGGUGCAAGCGUUACUCGGAAUUACUGGGCGUAAAGCGUGCGUAGGUGGUUGUUUAAGUCUGUCGUGAAAGCCAUGGGCUCAACCUGGGAAUGGCGAUGGAAACUGGGCGACUAGAGUGUGGCAGAGGGUAGUGGAAUUCCUGGUGUAGCAGUGAAAUGCGUAGAGAUCAGGAGGAACAUCCGUGGCGAAGGCGACUGCCUGGGCCAACACUGACACUGAGGCACGAAAGCGUGGGGAGCAAACAGGAUUAGAUACCCUGGUAGUCCACGCCCUAAACGAUGCGAACUGGAUGUUGGGUGCAAUUUGGCACGCAGUAUCGAAGCUAACGCGUUAAGUUCGCCGCCUGGGGAGUACGGUCGCAAGACUGAAACUCAAAUGAAUUGACGGGG
rnacentral:rRNA from 1 species